CCUACGGGUGGCAGCAGUGGGGAAUAUUGCACAAUGGGGGAAACCCUGAUGCAGCGACGCCGCGUGAGUGAAGAAGUAUUUCGGUAUGUAAAGCUCUGUCAGCCGGGAAGAAAAUGACGGUACCUGACCAAGAAGCCCCGGCUAACUACGUGACAGCAGCCGCGGUAAGACGUAGGGGGCAAGCGUUAGCCGGAUUUACUGGGUGUAAAGGGAGCGUAGACGGCAGGGCAAGUCUGGAGUGAAAGGCGGGGGCUCAACCCCCGGACUGCUCUGGAUACUGGCAGGCUGGAGUGCAGGAGAGGUAAGUGGAAUUCCUAGUGUAGCGGUGAAAUGCGUAGAGAUUAGGAGGAACACCAGUGGCGAAGGCGGCUUACUGGACUGUAACUGACGUUGAGGCUCGAAAGCGUGGGGAGCAAACAGGAUUAGAUACCCCAGUAGUC
rnacentral:rRNA from 1 species